rnacentral:rRNA from 1 species
CGGCGAUGUCCGAAUGGGGAAACCCAGUGCAAUUCGUUGCACUAUCGUUAACUGAAUACAUAGGUUAACGAGGCGAACCGGGGGAACUGAAACAUCUAAGUACCCCGAGGAAAAGAAAUCAACCGAGAUUCCCCCAGUAGCGGCGAGCGAACGGGGAGCAGCCCAGAGUCUGAAUCAGCUUGUGUGUUAGUGGAACGGUCUGGAAAGUCCGACGGUACAGGGUGAUAGUCCCGUACACCAAAAUGCACAGGCUGUGAACUCGAAGAGUAGGGCGGGACACGUGGUAUCCUGUCUGAAUAUGGGGGGACCAUCCUCCAAGGCUAAAUACUCCUGACUGACCGAUAGUGAACCAGUACCGUGAGGGAAAGGCGAAAAGAACCCCGGCGAGGGGAGUGAAAAAGAACCUGAAACCGUGUACGUACAAGCAGUGGGAGCACCUUUAUGGUGUGACUGCGUACCUUUUGUAUAAUGGGUCAGCGACUUAUAUUCUGUAGCAAGGUUAACCGUAUAGGGGAGCCGCAGGGAAACCGAGUCUUAACUGGGCGUUAAGUUGCAGGGUAUAGACCCGAAACCCGGUGAUCUAGCCAUGGGCAGGUUGAAGGUUGGGUAACACUAACUGGAGGACCGAACCGACUAAUGUUGAAAAAUUAGCGGAUGACUUGUGGCUGGGGGUGAAAGGCCAAUCAAACCGGGAGAUAGCUGGUUCUCCCCGAAAGCUAUUUAGGUAGCGCCUCGUGAACUCAUCUUCGGGGGUAGAGCACUGUUUCGGCUAGGGGGUCAUCCCGACUUACCAACCCGAUGCAAACUACGAAUACCGAAGAAUGUUAUCACGGGAGACACACGGCGGGUGCUAACGUCCGUCGUGAAGAGGGAAACAACCCAGACCGCCAGCUAAGGUCCCAAAGUCAUGGUUAAGUGGGAAACGAUGUGGGAAGGCACAGACAGCCAGGAUGUUGGCUUAGAAGCAGCCAUCAUUUAAAGAAAGCGUAAUAGCUCACUGGUCGAGUCGGCCUGCGCGGAAGAUGUAACGGGGCUAAACCAUGCACCGAAGCUGCGGCAGCGACACUAUGUGUUGUUGGGUAGGGGAGCGUUCUGUAAGCCUGCGAAGGUGGCCUGUGAGGGCUGCUGGAGGUAUCAGAAGUGCGAAUGCUGACAUAAGUAACGAUAAAGCGGGUGAAAAGCCCGCUCGCCGGAAGACCAAGGGUUCCUGUCCAACGUUAAUCGGGGCAGGGUGAGUCGACCCCUAAGGCGAGGCCGAAAGGCGUAGUCGAUGGGAAACAGGUUAAUAUUCCUGUACUUGGUGUUACUGCGAAGGGGGGACGGAGAAGGCUAUGUUAGCCGGGCGACGGUUGUCCCGGUUUAAGCAUGUAGGCGGAGGUUCCAGGUAAAUCCGGUACCUUUUAACGCUGAGGUGUGAUGACGAGGCACUACGGUGCUGAAGUAACAAAUGCCCUGCUUCCAGGAAAAGCCUCUAAGCAUCAGGUAACAUCAAAUCGUACCCCAAACCGACACAGGUGGUCAGGUAGAGAAUACCAAGGCGCUUGAGAGAACUCGGGUGAAGGAACUAGGCAAAAUGGUGCCGUAACUUCGGGAGAAGGCACGCUGGUGUGUAGGUGAAGUCCCUGCGGACGGAGCUGAGACCAGUCGAAGAUACCAGCUGGCUGCAACUGUUUAUUAAAAACACAGCACUGUGCAAACACGAAAGUGGACGUAUACGGUGUGACGCCUGCCCGGUGCCGGAAGGUUAAUUGAUGGGGUUAUCCGUAAGGAGAAGCUCUUGAUCGAAGCCCCGGUAAACGGCGGCCGUAACUAUAACGGUCCUAAGGUAGCGAAAUUCCUUGUCGGGUAAGUUCCGACCUGCACGAAUGGCGUAAUGAUGGCCAGGCUGUCUCCACCCGAGACUCAGUGAAAUUGAACUCGCUGUGAAGAUGCAGUGUACCCGCGGCAAGACGGAAAGACCCCGUGAACCUUUACUAUAGCUUGACACUGAACAUUGAGCCUUGAUGUGUAGGAUAGGUGGGAGGCUUUGAAGCGUGGACGCCAGUCUGCGUGGAGCCAACCUUGAAAUACCACCCUUUAAUGUUUGAUGUUCUAACGUUGGCCCCUGACCGGGGUUGCGGACAGUGUCUGGUGGGUAGUUUGACUGGGGCGGUCUCCUCCCAAAGAGUAACGGAGGAGCACGAAGGUUAGCUAAUCCUGGUCGGACAUCAGGAGGUUAGUGCAAUGGCAUAAGCUAGCUUGACUGCGAGCGUGACGGCGCGAGCAGGUGCGAAAGCAGGUCAUAGUGAUCCGGUGGUUCUGAAUGGAAGGGCCAUCGCUCAACGGAUAAAAGGUACUCCGGGGAUAACAGGCUGAUACCGCCCAAGAGUUCAUAUCGACGGCGGUGUUUGGCACCUCGAUGUCGGCUCAUCACAUCCUGGGGCUGAAGUAGGUCCCAAGGGUAUGGCUGUUCGCCAUUUAAAGUGGUACGCGAGCUGGGUUUAGAACGUCGUGAGACAGUUCGGUCCCUAUCUGCCGUGGGCGCUGGAGAAUUGAGGGGGGCUGCUCCUAGUACGAGAGGACCGGAGUGGACGCAUCACUGGUGUUCGGGUUGUCAUGCCAAUGGCACUGCCCGGUAGCUAAAUGCGGAAGAGAUAAGUGCUGAAAGCAUCUAAGCACGAAACUUGCCCCGAGAUGAGUUCUCCCUGAGACUUUAAGUCUCCUGAAGGAACGUUGAAGACGACGACGUUGAUAGGCCGGGUGUGUAAGCGCAGCGAUGCGUUGAGCUAACCGGUACUAAUGAACCGUGAGGCUUAACCUU